GUACCGCCCCAAACUUCCCGGAGUUCUGGAUUGGAAAGAGGAGAGGAGAGUGAGUGAAAGCGGUGUUGUUCUGGUGGUAGCGGCAGAGGUCGGAGACCUUGUGCAGGAGUAAAGGGCGGUAAGGCCGCGAGGGGUGAGGGUCAGAAGUAGUGUCUGCAAAAGGAGACUCGGCUUCAUGAGAAAACAGGUCCAGAAAAGACUUUAAAGACUUCCCUAGCCCGGUGUCGUGGGGGAACUGCUGUGACCCCAGCGCUUCUGGGAAGCUGAGGCAGAAAGAUAAGAGAUUUCGAUUCCAGCCUCGGCAACUUAGUAACUUAGGGAGACCCUGUUUCAAAAUGCAUAACAGAGAGGAGGCUGGGGAUGUAGUGCAUAGUGAAUACCCUGGAAGGGAGGAGCGGACUUCGAGUGACUCCCCAAGAGUUGACAAGGCUUUCGUUUAUGAGAUGCGGUCUCUGCAUAGAAAGUAGCUGGAAAAAUACAUACUGCCUACCAGGGGUGCCUUUGGUGAUAGACAACUGACUACGUUAUCAAUCUGCACAAACUCAUCAACUGCAGAAGUAAAAAGUCGGGCCUUCGGAAUUGCAAUUAGGGAGACAGGGUCCGUUAGCUCUAAAUUGGUGUUUCAGAAAAUGCACUGGGAGUUUAAAUGGAAAAGCAGUAAAAUGCCUUUGUAAAAAACUAUUAAAUUUGAAAAAGAAUAGGUGCUGUAUGAUGUGUAGGUGUGUAACCAAUGGAAGGUAAAGAAAAGGAUGCAUGUACAUAGUAAAAAACGUACAUAAAACUAGAAUCUUGCAACUUUUUUUUUUUUUUUGUCUUUUUCGUUUUUAUGGGUACUGGGGUUCGAACUCACGACUGCCUGCUUGCAAGGCAGACACUUCUGCCGCUGAGCUAAAUCCCCAGCCCCUAAAUCUUGUAACUUCUUGAAAGUAUCAUGAGUCUCAGGUAUAAGAUCAUUUAUCUUCGUGCAAGAGCCUGCAGUGAAGGGGUGAAGGUACCCGUGACUUCAUCACUUUUUCAUCACUGAGACAGAAUACACAACUCAGGCAACUUAAAGGAAGAGGUUUAUUUUGGCUCAUGUUUUCAGUCCAUAGUUGACCACCCCCAAAAGUAUUUAUUAUUUAAGUCUUGCUAUCUAAUGACUUACCAACUCCAUUUUAAAGCUUAAUGUUGUUUUCAUCAUGAUUCUUCCUUUUAUUUUGCAGCCUUUAUCCUGCUAUGAGUGCUUUUUAAUAAGCAUAACAACCAGUGUUGAUCGCUGAAGCUAUACCUAACACUUCAGAGAGCAGAUCAGCUGCUCCAGUCCUUUCAGUUUCUUGAUUGGAAGGGAAAUGACUUGCUCAAAGUUUUUGUUAGCCCGAAAUAUUGCUCUUUCUCCCUCCCAUACCCAUCAAAGAUUAUUGAGGGCAAUGCAUGCUUUUGCCCUAUGCACUCUUAGAGCUUCUGGAGGUACAGUACAAGACCCACGUACAGGGCAAGAACACAGAUACUGGGGCCACCUCUACACUUGUGGCAUCAGCAAUUGCUAUGCUAGGGCACUUUCUCUUGUUUUUUUGAAAAUGAUUGCUUCUUCACAGUUGAGUUUUGGAAGGAACAGGGCUGCUUAGAAGAACAAAAGUGACUUUUUGUUUGCCAGAUAAAUCCUUUAUUUGCAAGGAAACGAUAAUCUAGGAUUGGGAAGUCUUUGGAAAAAGGUUUAUUUUCAUCUUGCUUGUUUUAAAAUCUGUGUAGCUUUUAAGCAGGUAAUACACUCAAGGGUUAGAAAGUAAAAAUCGGGACUGAGAAACUAAAUAUCAACCCCUAUUAUUAGUGGUAUGCGGUGUACCUAAUAGAAGGCCAGUGGAAAGACCAUUAGAAACAAUAUUUUUCCAAAGGCAACACCACACCUGUGUGGGUAUUGUUAUAGAUUACUUUUUAUUUUUGACUCUUGAAUUCUUUAUUUUUUGUUAUAGUUUAGAUAUGGGAUGUCUUCAAGAGCCUCCUGCAUUCCCAGGCAGUGGUUGUGGAAGGUGGGCCUGGCUGGAAGAGGUGGGCUGCUGGGGAUAUGACCUGGUAGAUUAUAUUUCCUGCCAGAAUUCCUCUCCUUAUUCUCAGACUAAAACCUUUUUCUUUUUAGUCAUUAAUGCUUUCUUACUAAUGACUUCCCCAGCCCUGCUUUUUCCUCAUAACCCUUUACAGAUUGCUAAAAUACCCAGACUUUCUCCUUGAAAUAAAAUGGAUUUGGAAAAAUAAAAAAUAAAAUAGCCAAUCCAGAGAUAUGACCUGUGUGACACAGGUGUGCUCCUGGUACUCUUUUUCCUGAAGGACUUUGACACAUGAUACAAUAUUCAAAAGGUACAAGUUUGGUGAAAAGACUUCUGCACAAUCACCCAGUCCUCAGGAGGCAAUUAGUGUUAACAUUUUCCUGAAUGUUCGCCCAGACAGUUAAUAAUCUAUAAGAAAAUUCAUACAUUAAAAUAUAUUACCAAUUGCACAAAGAGGCAAAAAUACAUAUGUAUGUGGCAUAAUAUUAAUAUGUAAAUUAACAUUCUAUAAUUUGAAUUGAAACAUUGUUUAAAAUAUAUGCAUGUUAACAUGUUAUAGAGUAAUGCACAAUAUCAUUAGUUACAGUUUGUAUCUAGAUGUCCUCCCAAAGCCUAGUGUGCUCAUAGGGUUUUUUCAGAGGUGGACAAAUCCAGAGUGUGUGAUGUGGGGAUUAAGAGUACAUGAUUAGUAAAUCAGUCCAUUGAUUGGUUUGCCAUAAUUCUGGCUAGGACUAGGGCAGGUAGCCUGUGUAAAGUGUAAGGGACAGAAAGAAUCUUGUCUCCCCCUUGCUUGCUUGCUUUUGCUGUCUUAUGGGUGCCAUGAACUCUUCUCUGUGAUGGCCCUUUGCAAGCCACCCUGCCUUGGAGCCAGCCAAUUAUGGACUGAAACCUCCACAAACUGAGCCAAAUAAGCCUCCCCGCACUGCCCCGUUUAACUUUGGGUGCUAGGUGCUAGGUGUUUUGUUUAAGCAAUGAGAAAAGUAAGACAGGAUUAUAUACAGGUACAUAUAUGUCUAAGCAAUGAGACAGGUACAUAUAUACAGGUACAUAUUUUGUCUAAGCAAUGAGAAAAGUAAGACAGGAUUAUAUACAAGUACAUAUGUAUUAUGUUGUACACACAUAUAUAUGUAUUUCCCUAUCUUUUAUAUGCAUAUAACAAAUGGAACUCUUGCUCUGUCCUUUUUACUUAAUAGAACUUGGGAACCAUCUUCAAUCAGUACAUAAAGAGCUUCUUCAUAUUUCUUCAGAGUGUCACAGGUUGAUAUCCUGGACAAAGAGAUGGCUCAUGUCCCCAAAGGAUGGAGCAGGACAACACAAGAUUUCAUCAUGGUACAGAAAGUAGCACACAGUUCUCAAUUAUGAGUUAUUUCUGCAAUUUUCUAGGUAACAAUUUUUGGGCCACAGUUGACCACAGAUAAUCAAAAUCCUGAAAAGUGAACCUACAGAUAAGGGAGGACUACUGUAUGUGGUAUAAUUAAAACUACUAAAAUAAUAAUUAGAGUUGCUGGAUCUGAGUAUGUGCCUGUGUGACUGACAGCUGUUGCAGAGUCUGCUUCUAUAGAAGUUGCUUCAACUUUUGAUCUCACCAUCGAUGUCUUUACCAUCCAUAUCCUUACCAACAACAGUGGCCGUCACAUGUUACCUUUGUCAAGUGUGUAGGAUACAAAUAGUGUCUCAGUUUUGAUGUUUGUUUUUCUUAUUAUAAGUGAGGUAGAAUAAUGUGUCACCAAGAGAUGGAGGGAGAGGGAGGGGGAAGUAAAAAGAAUUAAGAUGUGUUAUAUACAUGCAUUAAAUCUAUACAAGGAAUGCAAAUGUGCUAGUAAUAAUAAAUUUAAAAAACGUUUUUAAGAGUCA